CAAGACUGUUCCUGGCUCUGGAGCUUCACAAUACUUAAUGAAAUGUUCGUUAACAAUAGAAUUACAACUGAGAUAGCCAUAUGACAGCACAAAAUGAAAUGAAAAAACAAAAUGAAAUGACACUGGAGUUGCUAAUCCAUGCUACAUGCAGCAACGAAAAUCAAAACGAAAUAAAAUAACACCCUGCAUAUGUGUAUAGACUCCAAGGAAGUGGAGCUUAAGUGUAAUUUCAGCCUCAACUUUCAAUAGCAUGAAGCCUCACUUCCUUCACAGAGAGUGCUGAAAUCAGAAACACAUGCUACCUCCUGACUCAGUGGCUAAGUGGCUGAGUGUCUCUGGACAAAUAAGUUCCCCAUCUACAUGCCGACACCAACUUGCAUGGUCACAGGCAAAGCAAGAAGGUCAAGGCCCCUGGAAUUCUUGGGGUCGGCUGCUUGUCUUAAGAGGAUUAAAGUAUGAGACAGUCUCUGGAUAGGACAAAUGUAUUAAGGGAACCAUGGUGGCAUCUGGACAAAGAAUAUAUAAGAAAUGGCCACGGGGAGAUUCAGAGCUGGAAAGCACCAAGGAAGAAGGCCAACAAAUGCCAGUUAUGUCAUUUUGACCUUUUGUUAAGACCCUGGUCCACGAGAAGAAGAUAUUG